rnacentral:rRNA from 1 species
AGUUGAUCCUGGCUCAGAUUGAACGCUGGCGGCAGGCCUAACACAUGCAAGUCGAGCGGUAGAGAGAAGCUUGCUUCUCUUGAGAGCGGCGGACGGGUGAGUAAUGCCUAGGAAUCUGCCUGGUAGUGGGGGAUAACGUUCGGAAACGGACGCUAAUACCGCAUACGUCCUACGGGAGAAAGCAGGGGACCUUCGGGCCUUGCGCUAUCAGAUGAGCCUAGGUCGGAUUAGCUAGUUGGUGAGGUAAUGGCUCACCAAGGCGACGAUCCGUAACUGGUCUGAGAGGAUGAUCAGUCACACUGGAACUGAGACACGGUCCAGACUCCUACGGGAGGCAGCAGUGGGGAAUAUUGGACAAUGGGCGAAAGCCUGAUCCAGCCAUGCCGCGUGUGUGAAGAAGGUCUUCGGAUUGUAAAGCACUUUAAGUUGGGAGGAAGGGUUGUAGAUUAAUACUCUGCAAUUUUGACGUUACCGACAGAAUAAGCACCGGCUAACUCUGUGCCAGCAGCCGCGGUAAUACAGAGGGUGCAAGCGUUAAUCGGAAUUACUGGGCGUAAAGCGCGCGUAGGUGGUUUGUUAAGUUGGAUGUGAAAUCCCCGGGCUCAACCUGGGAACUGCAUUCAAAACUGACUGACUAGAGUAUGGUAGAGGGUGGUGGAAUUUCCUGUGUAGCGGUGAAAUGCGUAGAUAUAGGAAGGAACACCAGUGGCGAAGGCGACCACCUGGACUAAUACUGACACUGAGGUGCGAAAGCGUGGGGAGCAAACAGGAUUAGAUACCCUGGUAGUCCACGCCGUAAACGAUGUCAACUAGCCGUUGGAAGCCUUGAGCUUUUAGUGGCGCAGCUAACGCAUUAAGUUGACCGCCUGGGGAGUACGGCCGCAAGGUUAAAACUCAAAUGAAUUGACGGGGGCCCGCACAAGCGGUGGAGCAUGUGGUUUAAUUCGAAGCAACGCGAAGAACCUUACCAGGCCUUGACAUCCAAUGAACUUUCUAGAGAUAGAUUGGUGCCUUCGGGAACAUUGAGACAGGUGCUGCAUGGCUGUCGUCAGCUCGUG